CGCGGGGUGGAGCAGCUCGGUAGCUCGUCGGGCUCAUAACCCGAAGGUCGCAGGUUCAAAUCCUGCCCCCGCUACCA
rnacentral:tRNA from 3 species